rnacentral:rRNA from 1 species
AUUGAACGCUGGCGGCAGGCCUAACACAUGCAAGUCGAGCGAGCGGCGGACGGGUGAGUAAUGUCUGGGAAACUGCCUGAUGGAGGGGGCUAACUACUGGAAACGGUAGCUAAUACCGCAUACCAUCAGAUGUGCCCAGAUGGGAUUAGCUAGUAGGUGGGGUAAUGGCUCACCUAGGCGACGAUCCCUAGCUGGUCUGAGAGGAGGACCAGCAAAACAGGAACUGAGACAGGGUACAGACGCUGAGGGGAGGAAGCAGGGGGGAAUAUUGGACAAGGGGGGAAAGCCUGAUGCAGCCAUGCCGCGUGUGUGAAGAAGGUCGUCGGAUUGGAAAGCACUUUAAGUUGGGAGGCGUUACCAACAGAAUAAGCACCGGCUAACUUCGUGCGAGCACCGCGGUAAUAC